rnacentral:rRNA from 1 species
GAUGAACGCUGGCGGCGUGCUUAAUACAUGCAAGUCGAGCGGUAAGGCUUUCACAAUUUACUUGAUACAGAGACAGGACGCGGCUUAAAGAGCCGCAUCAAAAACGAGAGAUGAACGGCAAAAAUCUUAAGUGAGUUUCUGAAUUCAUCAAGUGAAAUGUGAAAGUACACGAGCGGCGGACGGGUGAGUAACGCAUAGGAAUGUACCCCGAAGUGAGGGAUAAGCNCCGGAAACGGAGUCUAAUACCGCAUAUUCUCUUCGGAGCAAAGCCUUCGGGCGCUUUGGGAACAGCCUAUGUCUGAUUAGCUAGUUGGUAGGGUAAAGGCCUACCAAGGCGACGAUCAGUAGCUGGUUUGAGAGGACGAUCAGCCACACUGGGACUGAGAUACGGCCCAGACUCCUACGGGAGGCAGCAGUAGGGUAAUUUUCCACAAUGGGCGAAAGCCUGAUGGAGCGACGCCGCGUGCAGGAUGAAUGCC